rnacentral:rRNA from 1 species
CAGUCGAGGGGCAGCAUGGACCCAGCUUUGCUGGGUUUGAUGGCGACCGGCGCACGGGUGAGUAACGCGUAUCCAACCUGCCCUUUACUCCGGGAUAGUCUCCUGAAAGGGAGUUUAAUACCGGAUGUGUUUGUCUUUCCGCAUGGGAGCGACAAAUAAAGAUUAAUUGGUAAAGGAUGGGGAUGCGUCCCAUUAGCUUGUUGGCGGGGUAACGGCCCACCAAGGCGACGAUGGGUAGGGGUUCUGAGAGGAAGGUCCCCCACAUUGGAACUGAGACACGGUCCAAACUCCUACGGGAGGCAGCAGUGAGGAAUAUUGGUCAAUGGGCGGGAGCCUGAACCAGCCAAGUAGCGUGAAGGACGACGGCCCUACGGGUUGUAAACUUCUUUUAUAAGGGAAUAAAGUUCGCCACGUGUGGUGUUUUGUAUGUACCUUAUGAAUAAGCAUCGGCUAAUCCCGUGCCAGCAGCCGCGGUAAUACGGAAGAUGCGAGCGUUAUCCGGAUUUAUUGGGUUUAAAGGGAGCGUAGGCGGGCUUUUAAGUCAGCGGUCAAAUGUCGUGGCUCAACCAUGUCAAGCCGUUGAAACUGUAAGCCUUGAGUCUGCACAGGGCACAUGGAAUUCGUGGUGUAGCGGU